UACGGAGGGGGCUAGCGUUGCUCGGAAUCACUGGGCGUAAAGGGUGCGUAGGCGGGUCUUUUAAGUCAGGGGUGAAAUCCUGGAGCUCAACUCCAGAACUGCCUUUGAUACUGAGGAUCUUGAGUUCGGGAGAGGUGAGUGGAACUGCGAGUGUAGAGGUGAAAUUCGUAGAUAUUCGCAAGAACACCAGUGGCGAAGGCGGCUCACUGGCCCGAUACUGACGCUGAGGCACGAAAGCGUGGGGAGCAACAGG
rnacentral:rRNA from 1 species